GACGAACGCUGGCGGCGUGCUUAACACAUGCAAGUCGAACGGUAAGGCCCUUCGGGGUACACGAGUGGCGAACGGGUGAGUAACACGUGGGUGAUCUGCCCUGCACUUCGGGAUAAGCCUGGGAAACUGGGUCUAAUACCGGAUAGGACUCCUGGCUUCAUGGUGGGGGGUGGAAAGCUUUUGCGGUGUGGGAGGGGCCCGCGGCCUAUCAGCUUGUUGGUGGGGGAAUGGCCUACCAAGGCGACGCCGGGUAGCCGGCCUGAGAGGUGUGACCGGUCACACUGGUACUGAGAUACUGCCCAGACUCCUACGGGAGGCAGCAGUGGGGAAUAUUGCACAAUGGGCGCAAGCCUGAUGCAGCGACGCCGCGUGAGGGAUGACGGCCUUCGGGUUGUAAACCUCUUUCAGCUAUGACGAAGCGCAAGUGACGGUAGUAGCAGAAGAAGGACCGGCCAACUACGUGCCAGCCGCCGCAGUAA
rnacentral:rRNA from 1 species